AUGCCAUCCAUGCAACAGGCGGAGGCAGGGGCGGAGCAAAGGAGCAGGCCUCGGAUCAAGAUGAAUCCCGCGGCUAAGCGGGUGCUCACCGGCGGUGUGCGUUUGAUGUCGCCGGGGAGCCCCAGGUCUCCGCCGCCCUCCUACGGGAGCAUCGUCACCGUGCUCAGCAUCGACGGGGGCAGCGUGUGCGGGAUCAUCCCCGGCACCAUCCUCGCCUUGUUCGACCGUCGUCGCCAGCGGCGGUGCUACGAGACGAAUGCGAAUCCUCCCGAAGAUACCUUUCCACCAAGGGAUCGGUACUCUGACGUUCACGGCCCUGAGGAGCGCCUCGGCCUUCCGGUGCUGCUGCUCCUAGGCCCUGAAGACUAUCCUGAUGUUAGGAGGCGCUAUAUCACUCGCGCGCCAAGUAUCCUGUGGACCUUCGCCCCUGGUACUCGAGCGCCUUGGCAUCGGCCAUUUGGGUUGAUGAGGAGCAUGACGGGACCCAAGUACAACGGCGAGUACGGUGUACCUCCACACGAUCGUGAAGAAGCUCCUCGGCGACACACGGUCUGCGACACGCUCAACAACGUCGUCAUCCCCACCUUCGACAUCAAGCUCCUGCAGCCCACCAUCUUCUCCACUUACAACGCCAUGAAGGAUAAGUCCAAGAACGCUCUUCGGUCGGACGUCUGCAUCAGCACGUCCGCUGCACCGACCUACCUCCCCGGCCACCACUUUCAGACAGAGGACGAGGACGGCAAGCUCCGGGACUUCAACCUCAUCGACGGUGGGGUCGCUGCAAACAAUCCGACCCUGCUGGCUAUGACGGAUGUAAGCAAGCAGAUACUCAUGGGGAACAAGGACUUUUUCCCCAUCAAGCCGGCGGACUACGGCAAGUUCAUGAUCCUUUCAUUGGGCACCGGCACCGCCAAGAUCGAAGAGAAAUUCGAUGCCGUCGAAUGCAGCAAGUGGGGCCUCCUCGGGUGGCUCUCCAACAGGGGCGCCACACCCAUUAUCGACAGCUUCAGCCAGGCCAGCGCGGACCUUGUCGACAUCCACGCGUCUGUGCUUUUCCAGGCAUUGCACUGCGAGAAGCGCUACCUCCGGAUCCAAGACGAUGAGCUCAAGGGAGAAACGGCCUUCGUUGACGUGUCCACGCCAGAGAAUCUCAACCGGCUCGUCGACGUGGGCCAAGCACUUCUCAAGAGGCAAGUGUGCAAGGUGAACGUUGAGACGGGCAAGAACGAGCCUGACCAGAACAGGGGCACAAACGAGGAGUUGGUCAAUUUCGCACACAUGUUGUCGGAGGAGCGCAAAACCAGGCUUCGGCAGAAUGGUGGGGUUGAUUUCUAG
rnacentral:rRNA from 1 species